rnacentral:rRNA from 2 species
GGGUUGUGAGGUUAAGCGACUAAGCGUACACGGUGGAUGCCCUGGCAGUCAGAGGCGAUGAAGGACGUGCUAAUCUGCGAUAAGCGUCGGUAAGGUGAUAUGAACCGUUAUAACCGGCGAUUUCCGAAUGGGGAAACCCAGUGUGUUUCGACACACUAUCAUUAACUGAAUCCAUAGGUUAAUGAGGCGAACCGGGGGAACUGAAACAUCUAAGUACCCCGAGGAAAAGAAAUCAACCGAGAUUCCCCCAGUAGCGGCGAGCGAACGGGGAGCAGCCCAGAGCCUGAAUCAGUGUGUGUGUUAGUGGAAGCGUCUGGAAAGGCGCGCGAUACAGGGUGACAGCCCCGUACACAAAAAUGCACAUAUUGUGAGCUCGAUGAGUAGGGCGGGACACGUGGUAUCCUGUCUGAAUAUGGGGGGACCAUCCUCCAAGGCUAAAUACUCCUGACUGACCGAUAGUGAACCAGUACCGUGAGGGAAAGGCGAAAAGAACCCCGGCGAGGGGAGUGAAAAAGAACCUGAAACCGUGUACGUACAAGCAGUGGGAGCCUCUUUUAUGGGGUGACUGCGUACCUUUUGUAUAAUGGGUCAGCGACUUAUAUUCUGUAGCAAGGUUAACCGAAUAGGGGAGCCGAAGGGAAACCGAGUCUUAACUGGGCGUUAAGUUGCAGGGUAUAGACCCGAAACCCGGUGAUCUAGCCAUGGGCAGGUUGAAGGUUGGGUAACACUAACUGGAGGACCGAACCGACUAAUGUUGAAAAAUUAGCGGAUGACUUGUGGCUGGGGGUGAAAGGCCAAUCAAACCGGGAGAUAGCUGGUUCUCCCCGAAAGCUAUUUAGGUAGCGCCUCGUGAAUUCAUCUCCGGGGGUAGAGCACUGUUUCGGCAAGGGGGUCAUCCCGACUUACCAACCCGAUGCAAACUGCGAAUACCGGAGAAUGUUAUCACGGGAGACACACGGCGGGUGCUAACGUCCGUCGUGAAGAGGGAAACAACCCAGACCGCCAGCUAAGGUCCCAAAGUCAUGGUUAAGUGGGAAACGAUGUGGGAAGGCCCAGACAGCCAGGAUGUUGGCUUAGAAGCAGCCAUCAUUUAAAGAAAGCGUAAUAGCUCACUGGUCGAGUCGGCCUGCGCGGAAGAUGUAACGGGGCUAAACCAUGCACCGAAGCUGCGGCAGCGACGCUGAUGCGUUGUUGGGUAGGGGAGCGUUCUGUAAGCCUGUGAAGGUGUGCUGUGAGGCAUGCUGGAGGUAUCAGAAGUGCGAAUGCUGACAUAAGUAACGAUAAAGCGGGUGAAAAGCCCGCUCGCCGGAAGACCAAGGGUUCCUGUCCAACGUUAAUCGGGGCAGGGUGAGUCGACCCCUAAGGCGAGGCCGAAAGGCGUAGUCGAUGGGAAACAGGUUAAUAUUCCUGUACUUGGUGUUACUGCGAAGGGGGGACGGAGAAGGCUAUGUUGGCCGGGCGACGGUUGUCCCGGUUUAAGCGUGUAGGCUGGUUUUCCAGGCAAAUCCGGAAAAUCAAGGCUGAGGCGUGAUGACGAGGCACUACGGUGCUGAAGCAACAAAUGCCCUGCUUCCAGGAAAAGCCUCUAAGCAUCAGGUAACAUCAAAUCGUACCCCAAACCGACACAGGUGGUCAGGUAGAGAAUACCAAGGCGCUUGAGAGAACUCGGGUGAAGGAACUAGGCAAAAUGGUGCCGUAACUUCGGGAGAAGGCACGCUGAUACGUAGGUGAAGUCCCUCGCGGAUGGAGCUGAAAUCAGUCGAAGAUACCAGCUGGCUGCAACUGUUUAUUAAAAACACAGCACUGUGCAAACACGAAAGUGGACGUAUACGGUGUGACGCCUGCCCGGUGCCGGAAGGUUAAUUGAUGGGGUCAGCGCAAGCGAAGCUCUUGAUCGAAGCCCCGGUAAACGGCGGCCGUAACUAUAACGGUCCUAAGGUAGCGAAAUUCCUUGUCGGGUAAGUUCCGACCUGCACGAAUGGCGUAAUGAUGGCCAGGCUGUCUCCACCCGAGACUCAGUGAAAUUGAACUCGCUGUGAAGAUGCAGUGUACCCGCGGCAAGACGGAAAGACCCCGUGAACCUUUACUAUAGCUUGACACUGAACAUUGAGCCUUGAUGUGUAGGAUAGGUGGGAGGCUUGGAAGUGUGGACGCCAGUCUGCAUGGAGCCGACCUUGAAAUACCACCCUUUAAUGUUUGAUGUUCUAACGUUGACCCGUAAUCCGGGUUGCGGACAGUGUCUGGUGGGUAGUUUGACUGGGGCGGUCUCCUCCUAAAGAGUAACGGAGGAGCACGAAGGUUGGCUAAUCCUGGUCGGACAUCAGGAGGUUAGUGCAAUGGCAUAAGCCAGCUUGACUGCGAGCGUGACGGCGCGAGCAGGUGCGAAAGCAGGUCAUAGUGAUCCGGUGGUUCUGAAUGGAAGGGCCAUCGCUCAACGGAUAAAAGGUACUCCGGGGAUAACAGGCUGAUACCGCCCAAGAGUUCAUAUCGACGGCGGUGUUUGGCACCUCGAUGUCGGCUCAUCACAUCCUGGGGCUGAAGUAGGUCCCAAGGGUAUGGCUGUUCGCCAUUUAAAGUGGUACGCGAGCUGGGUUUAGAACGUCGUGAGACAGUUCGGUCCCUAUCUGCCGUGGGCGCUGGAGAACUGAGGGGGGCUGCUCCUAGUACGAGAGGACCGGAGUGGACGCAUCACUGGUGUUCGGGUUGUCAUGCCAAUGGCACUGCCCGGUAGCUAAAUGCGGAAGAGAUAAGUGCUGAAAGCAUCUAAGCACGAAACUUGCCCCGAGAUGAGUUCUCCCUGACCCUUUAAGGGUCCUGAAGGAACGUUGAAGACGACGACGUUGAUAGGCCGGGUGUGUAAGCGCAGCGAUGCGUUGAGCUAACCGGUACUAAUGAACCGUGAGGCUUAACCUUACAACGCCGAAG